CAGCAGCCACGGUAAUACGUAGGUGGCAAGCGUUGUCCGGAAUUAUUGGGCGUAAAGGGCUCGCAGGCGGUUUCUUAAGUCUGAUGUGAAAGCCCCCGGCUCAACCGGGGAGGGUCAUUGGAAACUGGGAAACUUGAGUGCAGAAGAGGAGAGUGGAAUUCCACGUGUAGCGGUGAAAUGCGUAGAGAUGUGGAGGAACACCAGUGGCGAAGGCGACUCUCUGGUCUGUAACUGACGCUGAGGAGCGAAAGCGUGGGGAGCGAACAGGAUUAGAUACCCCUGUAGUCCCUGUCUCUUAUAC
rnacentral:rRNA from 1 species